rnacentral:rRNA from 1 species
UACAGAGGUCCCAAGCGUUGUUCGGAUUCACUGGGCGUAAAGGGUGCGUAGGCGGUCGGGUAAGUCUGAUGUGAAAUCUCACAGCUUAACUGUGAAACUGCAUUGGAUACUAUCCGGCUCGAGGAAUGGAGGGGAGACUGGAAUACUUGGUGUAGCAGUGAAAUGCGUAGAUAUCAAGUGGAACACCAGUGGCGAAGGCGAGUCUCUGGACAGUUCCUGACGCUCAUGCACGAAGGCCAGGGGAGCAAACGGG